AAGACUUAACACCUCUACGAAACAGUAAGCUAGAGGUUUUGGAGAUGGAGAGAAAAGUGAUGAAAAGUAUUGCAGUUGCAAUUGUGAUGAUGAUUUUGUUGGGUUUCACAGAAGCCAACGAUUCAUGUGAGGCGAGAUGUGAUAAAAUUUGUGCACCAUCUAUGUUUGCAUUUCCAGUGUGUUAUUCUACUUGUAUGGAUGAAUGUAAGAGUGGUCGUCUUCCUCCUUCCAGUGCCAUCCAUCAAUGCGUUAAUACUUGCUUCUCCAUCAAAUCUGAUACUGGUGAUCGUGCUACAGGGAAUGUUUUAAACUCUUGCUUACAAAAAUGUCAUGACAAAGUAUAAGACUUUAAACCAUGUGUAUCUCAGAAUUAGAUUGUUAUAAAUAAUAUUACAUGAUUAUAAAAUACA